CGGGGUGAGUAAUGUAUGGGGAUCUGCCUGAUGGCGGGGAUAACUACUGGAAACGGUAGCUAAUACCGCAUAAUGUCUGCGGACCAAAGCGGGGGACCUCCGGGCCUCGCGCCAUCAGAUGAACCCAUAUGGGAUUAGCUUGUAGGUAAGGUAACGGCUUACCUAGGCGACGAUCCCUAGCUGGUCUGAGAGGAUGAUCAGCCACACUGGGACUGAGACACGGCCCAG
rnacentral:rRNA from 1 species